AACGAACGCUGGCGGCAGGCUUAACACAUGCAAGUCGAGCGCCCCGCAAGGGGAGCGGCAGACGGGUGAGUAACGCGUGGGAACGUACCCUUUGCUACGGAAUAGCUCCGGGAAACUGGAAUUAAUACCGUAUGUGCCCUACGGGGGAAAGAGUUAUCGCGCAAAGGAUCGGCCCGCGUUGGAUUAGCUAGUUGGUGGGGUAAUGGCCUCACAAGGCGACGAUCCAUAGCUGGUCGGAGAGGUUGAUCAGCCACAUUGGGACUGAGACAAGGCCCCGACUCCUACGGGAGGCAGGAGUUGGGAAUAUUGGAAGAUGGGGCGAAGGCUUAAUCGGCCAUGCCGCGUGAGUGAUUGAGGUCUUAGGGUUGUAAAGCUCUUUCCCCCGAGAAGAUAAUGACGGUAUCCGGAGAAGAAGCCCCGGCUAACUUCGUGCCAGCAGCCGCCGUAACAC
rnacentral:rRNA from 1 species